GGCAGAAAACAGGAAGCCAAGAUUAAAGGCAGAUUUCCAGCAAAGUCCCCUUCUACUUCCUGCAGAGCAGGUGCUCAGGUUGAGCUGGCUGCUGGCAGAGGGGCGAGGCAGCUUCCCUUGCUGACAGCACCUCCAGGCCCCCCCGCAGUGGUCGGCCUUCCAGCUUUGGGAGCUGUCCUCUGGCCCUGUCGUCACCAUCCCCACCAGGCCCUUAAGGAAUGCACCUCCUCCAGAAAGAGGCUGUGGAGGGAUUCAUCACUAGGAAAGAGGCUUGACGGUGGCACAGACAGAAAGAAGCAGCACUUGGGGGCACCUGGGAGAUCCAGAGCGAAGUCUAUGAUAAGAGUUGGCCAAGGUGCCCGGGAUCCCUGCAGCCUGCCUCGGCGCCUCCCCCCGCCACGAUUCCCUCCUCUGGGUCCCUAUCUUCUUGGAAUGUUCUGUCUCGUGGGGGCACAGAUAAGAGAACUAAAGAGAGAUUUAAGGAGGAGACAGUCACCAGAUCCCAGCUGGGGAGAAAGGACCCAGGAUGCCACCACGUCGUUCUCGCUGCUAUUACAAAGGCUUCCAGGUUAGAGCCCUGGCUGCACGCGUUCCCAGCCUUGUGACCCUAAGCAGAAGUCACUGAACCUUUCUGAGGCUCACUUUCCUCAUCUCUGAAGUGGGACUGAGGGGACCCAUGCCACAGGGACUUAUGUUAAACUGAGAUGAUGUAAAUUGCUUGUUUAGCAGGGUUCUUUAACACAAGGCCGACUUUCAUGCCAUAGCAGUUAGAUGAAUGUUUUUUCUCUCACUCCUGAAACAGGCUUUGCAGUGCCGGCUCUCCCCUGCUGGGUUCAGUCCGGCUUUCCAAGGGUAGGGCCAGGCCUUUUGUCUGUUCCUGGGCCUACAGUUUCACAGUGGCUGAUGAAUUGAAAACCCUCAUUCAUCCAUUCACUAAAUACUGAGGGCGUGUUUACUACUUUCCAGCACUGGAGUAGCUGGGAUUGGGCAGAGCCAGAGCCACCUAGUUACCACCUGGAGUCCUGAAACUGACAUCUCUCCCUCAGUGCUGUCAGGGGUCAUUGUCGUGCUGGACCCCAAAUUCCCCGGGCUCUGCCUUGCUGACUGGAAGCCGCAGUUGGUACUGUUCUGGCUUCCUCCUGGCAAGAAAAGAGGCCCUGGGGUUCUCUGCGGUGCAAAGGUUAGAGACCGGCCCAGGGAGGGGCAGGCGAGGAGAAGGAG
rnacentral:lncRNA from 1 species